AGGUUCAGCUGCUGCCUCCUCUUCCAUAGUAGUUAAAGAGUAUCUUUCAGGUCAGACAAACAUUAGUAAUGCACUUUAUCUCAUAAUUAUCACAGAGAAUUAUCUUAUUAUAGGAACUGGAUGACAACAUAUUUACCUGUUACAUCAUUACGGAACAACUCUGGCACUUAUUACAGCAUUUUUCUGUAUCUAACAUUGUAGGCAUUAAAAAUACCUCAUAUUAUGAUGUAUAAGAAAGUAGAGCUGCAACGAUUACUCGAUUAAUCGAUUAGUUGUCACGUGUUUACUGCAACCGAAAAGUGACACAGAGGGUUGUUAAGAACGUGUUUACUACAACCGAAAAGUGACACCCAGGGGUCGUUAAGCACGUGUUUACUGCAACCGAAUACUACAACCGAAAAGUGACACUGAGGGAUCGUUAAGCAUAUGUUUACUGCAACCGAAAAGUGACGCUGAGGAGUUGUUAAGAACGUGUUUACUACCAUCAAAAAGUGACGCCGAGGGGUCGUUAAGCACGUGUUUACUGCAACCAAAAAGUGACGCCGUGGGGUCGUUAAGCACGUGUUUACUGCAACCGAAAAGUGACACCGAGGGGUCGUUAAGAACGUGUUUACUGCAACCCAAAAGUGACGCUGAGGGAUGUGACAAAGCGUCAGUAUGUAACGAGUUGGGAUGAGAACGUGUU